AUACUGUGCAUUGGACUCUGGCUCCUAGUCCUGCUUCCUUGCCUAUUUCUUUUUCUUUUUUGCCUGCUAUCUAAUUACAUAAAUUUCCAUCUAUACAACUAUAUUUUAAUCCUGCUACUAUGAAAAUACUGAGCAACCUGAAGUAUGAAAGCAAUGCGCGGUUCGUGAGGUGGUCAAAUGACAGUUUGCAAUUGCCGGUGAGGAUCUUAGCUUUGAAUGCCUCAUAUUUUUUAAAAAAUGGAGGUCACUUUGUGAUAUCAAUUAAGAUUUUGCUUGUUUAGAAAUGAGAAGAUCAGUCCAUGUGCAGUAAGCUUUCGGAUCAAAGCAAAGCUGAGAAUUAGGUGUUAGUUGAUGGCAAAUUAAUAACCAGUAGAGGCACAUCCAUAGAGUUCUCGCUUGUGAUUGUUGAGAAGCUAUUUGGCUGCGAGAAGGCAUUAGAUCUUGCUGUUAGUGAGAACUUUAAAUAGACAUAUAACUAUUAUGUUACCAUUGUACUUUUGUGAAUGGAUUAAAAUGAAUGUUGUAUUUGAUUGAAUGAAUGAAUGA